rnacentral:rRNA from 1 species
UGGGGAAUAUUGGACAAUGGGCGGAAGCCUGAUCCAGCAACGCCGCGUGAGGGAUGACGGCCUUCGGGUUGUAAACCUCUUUCAGUACCGACGAAGCGCAAGUGACGGUAGGUACAGAAGAAGCACCGGCCAACUACGUGCCAGCAGCCGCGGUAAUACGUAGGGUGCGAGCGUUGUCCGGAAUUAUUGGGCGUAAAGGGCUCGUAGGCGGUUUGUCGCGUCGGGAGUGAAAACACCGGGCUUAACUCGGUGCUUGCUUUCGAUACGGGCAGACUAGAGGUAUGCAGGGGGAGAACGGAAUUCCUGGUGUAGCGGUGAAAUGCGCAGAUAUCAGGAGGAACACCGGGUGGCGAAGGCGGUUCUCUGGGCAUUACCUGACGCUGAGGAGCGAAAGUGUGGGGAGCGAACAGGAUUAGAUACCCUGGUAGUCCACGCUGUAAACGAUGAGAACUAGCCGUUGGGCCUAUUUAAAGGCUUAGUGGCGCAGCUAACGCGAUAAGUCUCCGCCU